AUUGAACGCUGGCGGCAGGCCUAACACAUGCAAGUCGAACGAGUGGCGGACGGGUGAGUAAUGUCUGGGAAACUGCCUGAUGGAGGGGGAUAACUACUGGAAACGGUAGCUAAUACCGCAUACCAUCAGAUGUGCCCAUAUGGGAUUAGCUUGUUGGUGGGGUAACGGCUCACCAAGGCGACGAUCCCUAGCUGGUCUGAGAGGAUGACCAGCCAAACUGGAACUGGGACACGGUCCAGACUCCUACGGGAGGCAGCAGUGGGGAAUAGUGCACAAUGGGCGAAAGCCUGAUGCAGCCAUGCCGCGUGUAUGAAGAAGGCCUUAGGGUUGUAAAGUACUUUCAGCGGGGAGGCGUUACCCGCAGAAGAAGCACCGGCUAACUCCGUGCCAGCAGCCGCGGUAAUAC
rnacentral:rRNA from 1 species